CCUCAACCCUGGGUGCGGCCGACUCGGACCCUCCGUGGCCCGGACACGCGGUGGCAGGCGUGUGGGUGGGGCUCCCUGGGCCCCUGAGCGAGUACAGCACGUGUGCCCAGGAUGCGCCUUCCUCUUCACGAUCAUCUGGGGUUUACGGCCCCCGGGGCCCCGCGGACAGGCGGCCCCCGGGCCCUUGUCCUUCACAUGGACCGUCCAGCACUGAGCAGGAGGCACAAGGAAGUGUCUUCUGCUGGGCCCUUCCAGACCAGCCUCGCUCACGGCCUCCAGCUGGUGACGGGACACGGAGACGUGUUUCUACCUGGCCUUCAGAGAGGUGGGAGUGAGCCCGAGGCGUGGGCGGUGGUCGCUAAAGUGUUUUCCCGGCAGAAACAAACUGUCUGGGUCGGGGGUGAGGCUGGCCAGCCCCCCAAGGCCCCGCCUCCAGGCCCUGGAGCGGCCAGGCCACCAUCCACCACCCAAGGCAGGCUCAUUGUGUUCCUGGCAGGGGGCGCCCAGGGUGGGGCUGCCCCCAGUUGGGGGCACCACGUUCUUUGCCAGUUUUCAUUUCUUGAACUUCGUGUUUAUCUCUGGUUGGGGCAGAUUUCUGGGAACCGCAUCUCUGGGACAAGGGACUGACUCCUGGGGUUCUGUGAGUAAUUGCGUGUUCUCAGCAGAGGUCAGGCAAGACGCGUCUUCUCGGGAGGGCUGAGCUCGGGGCCUCCCCAGCUGGCAGCCCACCGACGCCACCUCUGGGUCAUGCCCGCGGCAGCGGGAGCCUCGACAGGACAGUGGUCAGGGACCCUGUUGGGGUUCUGAGAAGGUUGUGACCUGAAUUUGUAAUAAACUUUGACAGCUGUUGCAA